rnacentral:rRNA from 1 species
UACGAAGGGGGCUAGCGUUGCUCGGAAUUACUGGGCGUAAAGGGCGCGUAGGCGGAUAGUUUAGUCAGAGGUAAAAGCCCAGGGCUCAACCUUGGAACUGCCUUUGACUACUGGCUAUCUUGAGUACGGGAGAGGUGUGUGGAACUCCGAGUGUAGAGGUGAAAUUCGUAGAUAUUCGGAAGAACACCAGUGGCGAAGGCGACACACUGGCCCGUUACUGACGCUGAGGCGCGAAAGCGUGGGGAGCAAACAGGG